GAGCCAGGAGACGCACGGAACAGACUCAGGAGCCGAUCAAGUCCGUUCAAAAGUCCGGUCUGAGGUCGUUUGUCCGACGGCCAUGCCGCCUUCGGGGGGGGGCGGGGCUCCGGGGUCCCCUGCUCCGCGGGGCUGAAAACCCCUCCCUCCCGGGCCCUUCCGCCCACGCACGCACCUCCUGUCGAUCAUCUGAUAACACUUCUUCAGCCAGCCGAUGCCAGGCAUCCUCCGCCGGGGGGUGGCGCCGUUCAGGUAGACGAUCAUGUAGUCCUCGGCCACCAGCAGCUCCAGACUGCUGAUGACGUACCUGGUCACGUGUGCGGAAGAUGGGGGGCCCGGCGGGGGGGGGGGGGGCCAGAGUUAGGAAGCCCCGCCCCCCGUCCGCGGGACGGAGCGCCCCGUGGGCGCCUGCGCUCUUUGCUGCCGCCUGCCGUGCUGGGCCAGCCCCGCCUGCUCGGGGUGGCGUGGCUGCAGACCCCGGCCCACCCCAAGUGCAUUACGCCAUCGUUAUGAAGCUGCACCCCUGUGUCCUUGGGUGAGUGACUGAACCUGUCUGCGUGUUGGGGGCUGCACCUGUAGGAGGAGGUGUCCGCCCCACAGGGUUGCCCGGAGCGUACACUGCAUUUCCACACGUGAAGCGCGUGGCGUCGCGGGCCGCCAAAGAGUAAACGCUCAUGGUAGUCGGGGGAGCUGCUGUCCGGGAGGAAGCAGGCAGCAAAUACAAUGAUGGCAUUGAGACCCUCGCCAUAGUACCCUGGGGAGAGGCGGCCGGUCAAUCCGGUGUUCUUGUUCUCCGAUGAUCACCGUCCGCCAGAGGCGCCCGUUGGUGGCACCGCCGUCCUCCACUGCGCCGUCCCCGAACAGAUCUGCACUGUCACCGGGCAUGUUCUUCGCGGCGGCCACCGGGGUGUCAUCUGGAAGCCAGCCGGGGGGGGGGGGGGAGGGAGCAGAAGGGACGUCUCAGUCCAGACGUUGGGUCCCAGCCUCCCGCCCCGGCCCCCUCUGCCUCUGCUGCCUGUGGACGCGUGACCCUCCUGCUUCCCCCGUGACCUUGCCCACGUGCUUCUCCCCGCCCAGAGGCCCUGCUUGUCCACUUCCCCCCCUCCCCCCGCUCUCCCUUCACGGCCCGGCUCAAAUGCCACCUUCUCCAGAAAGCCUGGCUUCCUAGAGCACUCUGUGGGCCUGGGGCUCGGGGCCUGUGAACGUGUCUGUCUGCUUCAUCAAACCGCGAGGGCGCUCAAGGGCACGGGCGCUCUCAUUCUGUGCCCUCCUUGGAGCCCGGCACACGGAGAGACGAUGCGGCCUGGCACCAGGACCCCCUGCACGCUUGCCCGGCCGCUAGCGACGCACAAGGCUCUCCACGGCCUGGUCCUCCUCCGCCUCCCGUGUUUCAUCCAGCCCUGAUCCCUCCUUCCGGCGCGUCCCCUACCUCAGCCGCCAGAGGCCCAUCUAAAACCCCUCUGGGGCGACAGGAAUAAACACAAUGACAAGAGAAUCCCACAAAUCACCGCACAUGUGUCGGGUGGCCUAGACGAAACGGCUAAAUUCUAAGAAACGCGGGGCGCCUGGGUGGCUCAGUCGGUUAAGCGUCUGACUUCGGCUCAGGUCACGAUCUCACGGUCUGUGAGUACGAGCCCCGCGUCGGGCUCUGUGCUGACAGCUCAGAGCCUGGAGCCUGUUUCAGAUUCUGUGUCUC